CUGCAUCCGAAGCUGCAGCCGAAGCCGCCGAUCGCUGAGGUUGCGGCGAUAGUGCUGCUCGAUCCGCCGAUUUUCCGACAUAUAUGCCUACCCAUAUAGGCCACCUAUCGAAGAUAUUACUUCUUAGCAGCCAUGCAGCCAGCACUGACCAGCAAUGAGCUUCGGCACGCGACUUCCAGCGGAGAGUGUGGAGAAGAGCGGAAAGCAGCGGCCCUGAGCACAAGGCGACCGCUUCGUUUCGUUUCGCUCAGUGUAGAUGCAAAGUGCAGCAGCUGCUCUUUGUUGGAGGCACCUUCUUGAUAAGGAAGCCGCUGCGCUCCGCCGACGACAACAAAGUGACCGCCAUGGAGGCGUUGGGCAAUCUCGUUGCAGGAAGCGGGCGGCGCAAGGGAGGAUCCCCUGGUGGGUCAGCAAUGGAGGAUGGGGAACAGAACACCCACAUCCCCACCCCUCUUGGACAAACAGCAGCUGUCCUCCACAACCCAUUCGGCACGGAGAGAAAAAGAUACAUAUAACAACCUGCAUGAUCCGAUCGAAGGGCUUCAGGAGACCGCACAUAUCGGCAGGUCCUCCGCUGCGAAUCCUGUUGAUGAAGACGCCCCGCUCGUAAAGUCCAUCGGAAACGGAGAAUCCAUAGUC